rnacentral:lncRNA from 1 species
UACUGAACACAGAUAACACCCUUAAGUGUCUGUAAGCAAUCCGACCUCUCGAAUCAACUGCAAUGCUCAUGCGCAUCUCUGUGCCAUAACAUAGACUCUUCUCAAAAGUGCUCCGCAGCUCAACAUCUCUGUAUCAACUCUAAGGCUUUGUCCCUCAAGCUAAGCACUGCUGAUCCCAGAUGUCUUGAUCCUCGACAUACCCUCGUGCCAUGCAAUCCACCAAGCUGCCCUUCAGUAUUACACAUAUCAAAUCCACAUAGCACGACCAUGCAAUGCCAUUACUAUGCAUGAGGCUCGGACAAAUCCAUCUUUAAUGCUGUCCAACUAAACUACCAAGCUGACAUGACCUAUAGCUUUUCGAAGCUACAGAUGAUCAUAUACAUUCGAGUCCUCUGGGGUUUUACUAUCCAAGUUUUUGCCCACAAGCUCUUAUGCCACGAUCCCAAUCUUGCAUCUUUGAUAUGCCUUUCUAUCUCUGGUCAUAUCGUUUGAUAAUAUUCAUGGCCUACUCGCCCAUCACUAUGCAUUACCAUGAUCCUGAGGAUACAUGACCACCACCCAACAUCUUAGGUCCACAGCCUACUCACACAUUGAGCACUGUCACGAUAUCGGCAUCCAAGUCUGCCCCAUCAAGUAAAGAUUUUCGAUUGGAUGAUAUAUACAUCAAGUCGUCCUCUCCUUGACAUGACCCUCUUGGCCAUCCAUAAUCCUUGACCCAAUGCCAAAGCACAUAUUCCGAUCGAUAUAUCAUAAGCUUUGUUCUCUACGAUCGAUCGAUUUUCAUGGAUCCCCGCAAGACAUCACCUUGCGAUGCUCACGAGACUUGCCUGUUUGGAUAGGCCACACCCUUGCCCGACUAGCUCUCUAUCGCCUCUUCGCUCCAUUACAGAGAUCAAGAAUGCAUAGAGUAGUCUAGACAAACCCUUCAAGGAUAAAAUCUCGAGAUAUUUUCUUCCCACACAAUAUGGCCAACUCAUCCAAUCAACAUUGCCCCGAAUACCUCCACAUGAGAUCGUUCGGGUGUGGCACCAUCAUUGCCCACACAACUGUGCCACGACGGACCCGUCUCCUACGGAUCUGGGGGAGUCUGGUAUGCGAUCAAAGCUCCGCACCCCUCCUCAAAUCAAGAGGAAUCCUUGAGUAUCCACAUCUAUCAUGGCGGACCACCACUAUUCCAAAUAUCAUGCGUCUCGAGCCCCUCGAUAUCAUGCCACGGUCAUGUCGCUCUUUGGCGAACCAUUGCUCCCUCACUACCCAGCAAGGCAUCUCCUUAAAUCUCAUCCCGGAGGUUUCAAAUGAUCGAGUAGCAUUGCAAAUUUUGGUCAAGCCAAAUCUUUCGCAUCAUCGUGCCACGCCUAUGCUGGCACCCCCUGCGACAUGUCUGCAGAUAAGCUCGUGACAAUUCUCCUCCACUCAAGCUAUCGACGUCCUCGUCGACGUCCAAGCCACUACUUGAAUGAACAUUAGUUACCACAGCCAAAUUUUCACUGUAGUCACUAUAAAUAUGGUUCCUUAAGUCAGAGACCCAUGGUCUCGAUGUCCUUGAUCCUUUCUCUACCACUGAGAAUUCAUCAUCCACACCACAUUGACUCUUCCACAGAACCAAACUGCUUCAAAAUCUAAUACUAAUCUCUGCUUUUGUCCUCCUCCAAUGAUCUUCUAACUUUCAAUUACAUGGCAUUUCUCGGACUCUUCCAAGGCUUAACUCUCGAUUGCCCCAAUCUAAGAGUGACUAUUGAAUUUUCUAAGCUUGCUGCAGUUCUCUGACCAUCAACUUAACUGAAAACUUUGUGGCACUCCUCGAACUUUUUCGAGAUUUUACUCUCGAUUUCCUCAAUUUAAGAGCUGCCAUUGCCUUAACUAAAGCAAAAUCUAUUGUCAAAAACACAAAAUGGCACUCCUUGGAGUCACGGGGUGAGUGUUUUCUUAUCCAAACACCCGUACGGCACCCCAGCAUGCCACAUACCAAGGCCAGCCUUUUUGAGUCCUUUCUUCGGACAUAUCAAUAAGCACGCAGCAGUCCAGUCACACAGUCAAACUUGCAUCUCUGUGCCUCUGCCUAGCAACACAGAUGUAUUGAACACAGAUAACACCCUCAAGUGCCCGUAAGCAAUCCGAUCCCUCGAAUCAACUGCAAUACUCAUGCGCACCUCGGUGCCAUAACAUAGACUUUUCUCAAGAGUGCUCCACAGCUCAACAUCUCUGUGUCAACUCUAAGGCUUUGCCUCUCAAGCCAAGUACUGCUUAUCCCAGAUGUCUUGAUCCUCGAUAUACCCUUGUGCCAUGACAUAACCACUGUGUCACUGAUCUGCAACCCACCAAGCUGCCCUUUAGUACUACACAUACCAAAUCCACAUAGUACGAUCAUGCAACGCCACUAGUAUGCAUGAGGUUCGAACAAACCUAUCUUUAAUGCUGUUCAGCUAAACUACCAAGCUGAUACGACCUGUAGCUCUUCGAAGCUAUAGAUUAUCGGACAUAUUCGAGUCCUUUGGGGUUCUAUUAUCCAAGCUUUUUCCUACAAAUUCUUGUGCCAUGAUCCCGAUCUUGCAUCCUUGAUAUGCCUUUCCAUCUCUGGUCAUAUCACUUGACAAUAUUUAUGGCCUGCUCGUCCAUCACUGUGCAUUACCACGAUCCUGGGGAUACAUGACCACACCAUCCAACAUCUUAGGUCCACAGCCUACUCACACAUUGAGCACUGCCACGAUAUCGGUAUCCAAGUCUGUCCCAUCAAGUAAAUAUCUUUGAUCGGAUGAUAUAUGUAUCAAGCCGUCUUCUCCUCGGCAUGAUCCUCUUGGCCAUCCAUAGUUUUUGGCCCAGUUUCAAGGCACAUAUUUCGAUCGAUAUAUCAUAAACUUUCUUUGUUCUCCACGACCGACUGGUUCCUGUGGAUCCCCGCA